rnacentral:rRNA from 1 species
CCUACGGGAGGCAGCAGUGAGGAAUAUUGGUCAAUGGACGCAAGUCUGAACCAGCCAUGCCGCGUGCAGGAAGACGGUCCUAUGGAUUGUAAACUGCUUUUAUACGGGAAGAAACCCUGCUACGUGUAGCAGCUUGAG